rnacentral:lncRNA from 1 species
AUCUUAUGCUAAGAAAAGAAGAAGAAUCUGCACAUCAAUCCCCAGAACUUGCCAGUCAAGAUGAAAAACUUCUUCUAAUGGAAUCCAGCUUGAAAGCUACUCAAGAGCAGCUAACUGAGCAAAUAGCAGAAACAGUUCGCCAAGAACAGAACAGUAGAAAACCCCAGGCAGAGCUGAAGACAGUGACAGAAGGGAUUAUUGCUUCUGAAGAAGAAAAAAAAUGAUUACAAAAUCACCUAUUUUACCGUCUUUUACAACUUCGUUGUAGGAGGUGUGAAAGAGGAGGGAAAUUGUGUUGGAAGAGGAGAUUAGGACAUCAAGAGACACCAAGAGUAACCAUGUACAGAGAAAAACAUCAUAUGAAGACACAGCAAGAAGGUGGCCAUCUGUAAGCCAAAGAGAGGCCUCAGAAGAAACCAAAUCUGCUAACACAAUCAUGGACUUUCAGCCUCCAGGACUGUGUGAAAAUAAAUUUCUGCUGUUUAAGCCACCCCAGUGUCUGGAAUUCUAUGGCAGCCCUAGCAAAUAAAUACAACUA